UCUUGUAAAAAGCUUUUCUAUUUGUAUCUUUCUUGUAGAUUUCCUUUAGAUACUGGAAGCUUGCAAGUUGGAGGAUUCCAUGACACACCUCACCUUUCAGUAAUCUGUGAGGUUCUGGUGGAACCCAGAGCAGACAAGUAGAGGAAGGAGAUGGCUCUGAUCUUCAGUUCAAGUUCUGUGUGUUAGCAACCCACAAAAAUGGAGAUGUUUAUGUUUGUGGUUCCAGAGCAAACCAAAAUAAAAGAGAAG
rnacentral:lncRNA from 12 species